AAGUCGUAACAAGGUAACCGUAGGUGAACCUGCGGUUGGAUCAUUAAAAAAUGUUUGGUCUUGUACCAAAUGAACACCUGUGUGCACCAAAUGACUGUUUUUGGUAGUUCGAGUUGCUCCUCGGGACUCAACACCCCGAGGUGCCUACCGCUGCCCGAUUAGGUGGACUGGUUUUACAACCUGGGCACCGUCAUUGGGCAACGCGCGGUUGGGCUACCGACCAUUUGAACAAACAUUUUGAUUUUUUUGUCUGAACUUUUAAGAUUUAAUCUUUGAUGAUUAAUGAUUAAUUACAACUUUUGACAACGGAUCUCUUGGUUCUC
rnacentral:misc_RNA from 1 species